UACGGAGGGUGCAAGCGUUAUUCGGAAUUAUUGGGCGUAAAGGGCGCGUAGGCGGCUUUAUAAGUCUGAUGUGAAAGCCCGGAGCUUAACUCCGGAAGUGCAUUGGAUACUGUAAGGCUUGAGUAUGGGAGAGGGUAGUGGAAUUCCUGGUGUAGAGGUGAAAUUCGUAGAUAUCAGGAGGAACACCGGUGGCGAAGGCGGCUACCUGGACCAAUACUGACGCUGAGGCGCGAAGGCGUGGGGAGCAAACAGG
rnacentral:rRNA from 1 species